UGGAUGUCUGUCCAUUUUAUGUUCUCCUCCACAGUAGGCUCAUACAGGACCUCUACUCAGAGUAAACUAUAUUUGAUUUUAGAUUUUUUUUUAAUCAGAAAAUAAUUGUAAAAGAUGGAGCUACUGAGGACUGCACUUCUUGUUGUGUUUAUCACAACAGCAUUCACAAAACCGUUUGGCAGGUCUGGACACCAUAAUGGCCAUAAAGCAUUAAAUCCAUUGGAAUGGUUGAAAUGGUACGAGCGGGGUCACUCUUCUGAGGAUGUCUUCAGACACAGCAAGGGAAGAGGCUCGGGAUCACCAAAGGCCUUUGAUUCUUCAGUAUCAAUGGAGUCUUCCUCAGAAUCUUCAGAAUCCAACCAGUCCUCAGAAUCUGAUGCAUCAAGUUCAGAGGAGAUCUUCCCUGAGAGGACAACACCUGGACCAAUUGCUCCAACCACAGUGAACCCACCCACUGCUGCCAUGUCAACUAUCCCACCGGUGAUAGAAAUGUCCACAAAUGGUCCAGUCAUCAAUGAAACGACACCUUUACCAGGGAACGUUACUGCAUGUGUCACUGAGGACAUUCUAACUCCAGCUCCGCCAACUCCCGCUCCAGCAACUCCCCCUCCAGUCACAGAGAGUAGAGGAGACCGUCUUUAAAUGUUUAUAAAUACUAGUCAGAAUUCAAGCUACAUUUUUCCAGUUUAUCAUUAUUUGUUAUAUGGAAAAUGUACUUUAAUGUAUUUACAGCUUUGAAUGGAUUUAUAGCUUUUGUUGUCGGCUUCAGAAUAGUAUUAUAGUAAUGAAAAACAAAUAAGAAUCUUGUAUGGCAUAAGAAUAUUUUUUUUAUACAAAAAUCUAAUGAGUAUCUGCUAAGAUUUUGUAUGUUUUGCCUUAUGUCAGUAGUGUAUUUGAAUAUGUCUUGACUUAUAUGACUACUAUGACAUACACAAUUGUGGUGGAUUUUCCACAACAGGGGUCUCUAACCUAUUCCAGCAUGAGUGCAUUCUUUUAACUUUCAAAUAGGCACAUUCUUCUCUUUUCCUUCAUCCUUGCAAGUCUUCCCUAGGUCCUUGCUGUACAACAUGUUUUCUCUCAAUAUACUUGGUAAAAUGAUGGUUAAUAAACAACUCUAAGGGGGCCCCCCUAAAAUGCUAUUUGGUAUUUUCCUGAAUUCUGUUUUCUCUAUUAGUUUUUUCCUGGUUUGAGAUUUCUUAAAAAAACAUGUACUCUCACUAUUACAAUUACUUAUAGAGAAACAACGAAUGUGUAGCGAUUCUCAUCCUCGUCUGUGGAUGUUCUGAGUCCAUACCAAUUCUUAAAUCACAACAGAAGAUCAUUUUUUAGUACAAAAAAAAAAAAAAUACAUUAAAUGUUUUUUUUGGGGGGUUGUAUAAUUCCCCUAUAAAUGCGCAACUAGCAAGAGAUGAAUGUGUUGAGUUGGGAUAUUGGGAGACCAAGAAAAGAACGGGCCUAAGGUACUCUGGGCAGAGGAACAUUUUGAGCCAGGCUACUCUCACGAGAUCAUAGACAUACGGUUCUUUUUACAGGUCAGUUAAUCAAUAAAUAUUAAACCAGGAGACGAUUUAACUUUGCUAUCAGGGUUUCCCAGUUAGCGAGGGGAAUGGCGUGACUUGAGAGGGCAAGAACGAGAUGCAUGUUAGGGGAAGUACAAUAUUAUCAUAAGGAGACGUAUACUUCGAAUACAUAGGAGGAAUGGAGGGAAAAAGAGAGGCAGAGGAGGUCGUAGAGGGUGAGAUUGAAUCGGUUAAGAAUGGUGGAUAAAAGGGAGCUGGUUUGUUAAAGAAGAAUGGUAGAAAGUGUUAGCAGAGUGAGCUGUACGCCGGAUCGAAGACAAGGAGGAGAAAUGGAAGUGAGGGCGAAUUAUCGGAGGUGUAGGAGUGGUGAAGUUCUUGGAGCCCGAGGCUUGUACCGAGGGUCAGGAUAAAGAUGAGUCUGUGACGGUAGGAGUGACAUUUUUUUAAAAAGUGGACCCUUGCCUUUUGGCUGAUCCAUUUGUGGUUUCAGGGUGGGUGAAAACAGAGUUGGGUGCUGUAGAAUCGGUGAAGGUGUCACGACUUGUUCGGCGGUGUUCGGUGGUCACCGGUCUUCUAGACAUUGCCGCUUCAUUUUCAUCAUUCCAUUUGUUUUGACUUGUUUGCUUCACACCUGGUUUGCAUUCCCUAAUCACACUGCAUGUAUUUAUUCCUCUGUUCCCCUCCAUGUCUUUGUGUGAAAUUGUUUUGUGUUACGUGGUUUUUAAAGUAUAGCUGGUUUGUUCCGUGUAUGUUGUUCACGUAGAUGGUUUGUUUGUUUAAAACUAUAUAUCAGGUUGUGAUUUCUCGCGCUGUACACUCUGCCUGCCAAAUAAAGUGUGUGCUUGUUUCACAA